CUCAGACCCGGUGUGGCUGGGCCUGGCUCUGAGGGAGCUCCUGAGAGCCUGAGUAGAUGCUCAACAAACAUGUGCCGAGUUGAGCCUCAGCCAAGCUUGGAGGCAGAGGGAUGGACAGGAUGACUUGGCUGCAGGAGGGUUCAACUUGAGAAGAGACCUGUUCCUUCUGGGAAGGAAUUAUGGAGUUACCAAAUAGCCCCACCACACCGGUCCAGGCACCCUGAGGUCACGGACAAGUUCUCUGGAAAUGGGCUGGAGUCCUCACGAAGGCUCCGUUGGGAAGAUGUGGACACAGAGAGUCCAGGCACCUCCAUGCCAGGUCAACAAGAUGCAUGGACAUGGCAUCGUUGUCCCUUUUGGAGCUGUCUCCUCUCCCCCUUGUGUGGGGCUGUGGACAGUGGGCCAGAAGCCUCUCUUAUAUCCUCCUACUCUGCUCCCUCCUGCCCAUAUCCCACUUCCUAGCCCUUGGUUUAGAUCUCUUGAUAAUGGCUCUCAAUCUCAGGUCUCCUGAUGGGGAAUAUUUUGCCUCUCUAACUAAUUGCAGGCUCCAAAAGUCAGCGUGUAGGACGUGUGACUCCCCUAAGUAAGACCUGGCUCUUCCCGGCUGCUGGAUGGUGGGAACUGCCUUCACCAAUAGCCCAGGGGUCAGACAGCAGGGGCUGUGUCUGUUCCCUCAGCCUAGGGCAGGGGCGGGGCCUUGCCCUCUGUCUCUCCCUAGCCUCAGAUCAGGAAGGAGCCCAUGGACUGUCUCAGGCUGGCCUGUUGACAGGAGAACCUGGCCAGGGCCUGAGGUGGUUUCAGCACACUCUCCCUCCCUCCAUCUGUCUGACUAAUAGUCCCAUCUGCAAGCCCCACGUGAGACACAGCAGCGUCUCUGCUGCUGCCCUUGUGAGCGAGCGGCCGUGUCUGCAGCGUAACUGCCUGAUGGUAUCUCCAAGGGUGGUGUGGGUGAGCUGUCUCUUGGGAGUGCCUGCCUGUCUGCCUCAGCCCCCAACCUGCCCAUUGCAUUAUUCAUAGAACCCUAGGACCCGCUUCCCUUCCCCCAGCACUGUGAGAGACACCUGCCUGGCUGAUACUGGGGGUGGGGGGUGUGAGAGUGUGUGUGUUUCAGGGGAGGGGGGGUCUCUGGGUACCCCUUCCUGAACUAGUCCCCAUGACUUCUUCUCUGACACAUUCCUAGGUGGAAGCCUUGGAGACGUGAUUGCUGCCAGGGUGUCUCCAGAGAUGUGAGGCCCAAUUUCCAUCUUCUGGCUCACAAGGAAUCCUAGCAAUGGGCCCUGGGUCCUACCUGCCCUCGUCUUCUGACUGCCCCUGCUAAUACUCAUUUCUGCCUCCAUGGGCUCCUACCUCCUCAUUCUAGGCAAUUUCCUUUUCGCUCCUCCCAGCUGAUGAGGGCCUCCUCCUGGCCCUAGGUCACUCCCAUGGUAAGAUAAAUGCAAGUUGCUUCCCAGCCAGGCUUGACCUCUAUCUACUGCCACCAACCCACCCCUCCCACUGUGCCUUCGUUUCCUAAGCUGUAAAAUGGGAAUCAUAGUAGGAAGGGUCCUUGAGGGAUGAAAUGAGAUCAUAUAUGCGCAAGUUUGCGGGAAUACAGGAGCCCAAUGUCUUAACAGUCUUCCGUCUUCCUCCUGACUCUGUCCCCUCAACCUUAGAUUCCCCAAGACAGCAACCACAGAGAGAGUGUAUAAAAGGAGACGCGAAAACAUAAGAAAUCAAAGAAGGGCCCCACCCUUUGAGAUCCUCUGAGCUGAUGGGAGAGAUACAGUCUCUGCCUCGGGGAGCUCCCAAUGUGUUUGUGUCUAGGUUUGUGUGUCUGUGUGUCUGUGUGGUAGUGGAGGGGCGUGUUUCCCAACCAGAGAGGAGAGCCCAGAUGUGUGUACUGGGCCUAGAACAACUCUUGUGGUGUCUUUUUAGCAGGCAGGGACAAUCAACAAAUUCAUUAAGUACCUAUUUACACAUCUAUUGUCAAAGCUAAUAAUUUGAUUUAACUAAGCUGAUUACCUUCAUUAAAAACCAUUAGUUCCCAUAAG
rnacentral:lncRNA from 10 species